rnacentral:sRNA from 1 species
UGUAACAGCCUGUGCCAGUUUUCCUGUCCACCCCUUGGGGUGUGUUCGGUCGAGAGCUGGCAGUCCGUUCGUGACCAUGGAGCCGUCUUGAGCAGUGGACGUCAAUAUCCGAACGACAGGCUGCAGAGCAAGUCGGCGCGUUGCUGGAAGCCUGAGUUCGCCGGAAGGUUUGAGCUCGGUGGAAGGCGCGUGCCAGGCAGACUGAUUCCUGUUCCCUUUUGCUAGACCGUCGGUCCAUGACGCUUGGGACAAACCCAGUUGGCUACAUAU